rnacentral:rRNA from 1 species
AGAGUUUGAUCAUGGCUCAGAGUGAACGCUGGCGGCGUGCUUAACACAUGCAAGUCGAACGAGAACGGUCCUUCGGGAUGUCAGCUAAGUGGCGGACGGGUGAGUAAUGUAUAGCUAAUGUGCCCCUUGGAGAGGGAUAACAGUUGGAAACGACUGCUAAAUACCUCAUACUCCUUCUAUGUUAAUCAUAGUUGGGAAAUGUUUUUUCGCCAAGGGAUCGGGCUAUAUGGUAUCUGCUAGUUGGUGAGGUAAUGGCUCACCAAGGCAAUGACGCCUAGCUGGUCUGAGAGGAUGAUCAGCCACACUGGAACUGAGACACGGUCCAGACUCCUACGGGAGGCAGCAGUGGGGAAUACUGCACAAUGGAGGAAACUCUGAUGCAGCAACGCCGCGUGGAGGAUGACGCAUUUCGGUGUGUAAACUCCUUUUAUAUAGGAAGAUAAUGACGGUACUAUAUGAAUAAGCACCGGCUAACUCCGUGCCAGCAGCCGCGGUAAUACGGAGGGUGCAAGCGUUACUCGGAAUCACUGGGCGUAAAGCGCGCGCAGGCGGGCUAAUAAGUUGGAUGUGAAAGCCUACGGCUCAACCGUAGAACUGCAUCCAAAACUGUUAGUCUAGAGUGUGGGAGAGGAAGAUGGAAUUAGUUGUGUAGGGGUAAAAUCCGUAGAGAUAACUAGGAAUACCAAAAGCGAAGGCAAUCUUCUGGAACAUUACUGACGCUGAGGCGCGAAAGCGUGGGGAGCAAACAGGAUUUAGAUACCCCUGGGUAGUCCACGCCCUAAACGAUGAAUGUUAGUCGUCGGGUAGCUAGUCUAUUCGGUGAUGCAGCUAACGCAUUAAACAUUCCGCCUGGGGAGUACGGUCGCAAGAUUAAAACUCAAAGGAAUAGACGGGGACCCGCACAAGUGGUGGAGCAUGUGGUUUAAUUCGAAGAUACGCGAAGAACCUUACCUAGCUU